UACGUAGGCAGCGAGCGUUGUUCGGAGUUACUGGGCGUAAAGGGUGUGUAGGCGGUUCUUUAAGUUUGGUGUGAAAUCUCCCGGCUCAACCGGGAGGGUGCGCCGAAUACUGAGGGACUUCGAGUGCGGGAGAGGAAAGUGGAAUUCCUGGUGUAGCGGUGAAAUGCGUAGAUAUCAGGAGGAACACCGGUGGUGUAGACGGCUAUCUGGACCGUAACUGACGCUGAGACACGAAAGCGUGGGUAGCAAACAGG
rnacentral:rRNA from 1 species